GGGGCUAUAGCUCAGCUGGUAGAGCACUUGCCUGGCAGGCAAGGGGUCAGGGGUUCGAGUCCCCUUAGCUCCA
rnacentral:tRNA from 1 species